AUCAGAUGUUCACACAGCAUCCCAAGCUUCCAAGUCAUUCUGUGAUCAGUUUCCAUUUGUGACACCAACACUGUAACUGGAGAUGACAACUCGUCCACAGCAGAGCUAAGCAACCCUCGCCUCGACAUGUUGAGCUCCAUCAUCCUGGCCUGGGUUUUGUUCCAGCUCCAGCUCCCAGUUAAUGAUGGAGCUCCCAGCGCUUACGAGGUCCUCCAGUCGCCUCGUUUUGCCGCUCCAAACCCCGGAGGAUCCGUCACGAUCCACUGUUCGCACAAUGUGUCCAUUUUCGAGCGCGUCCUUUGGUACAAACAAGAAAAGGACAGCGCUCUGAGGUACCUGGGAUACAUGAACAGGAACUUCCCUUACCCAGAGGGCGAAGUGAAGGACAAGAUGACCUUUGGAGGAGACGGCAGUAAACACGCGACCCUGAAUGUUUCGAGUGUUUCGGAAAACGACAGCGCGAUAUAUUUCUGCGCUGCCAGUCGACACAGUACAGCAGAAUCCCUGUCAGUCAGCACAAAAACUCUGCAUAGAGAUAGAGAUCUGAACACCUGCAGCCAACCUCCAUUACCAAUAAUGGCCUGCAGGGGGAGCAAGAUGAUCACUUUUUGCCAUCUCUACUCUCCUGUUUAUUUUCACUAUGGACUUCAUCACCAAACAGAAAUUCAUCAUAUUCAUUUCCUCCUGGUGCAGUAUGUCUUCAUCCAGAAUGUUACACUGAACCAGCUCUGUGAAGUUAAGAGGAGGAGGACCUGCUUUGGCUCCACCUUGUAAUGAUGACUUGAACAAGAAUGCAGCCAAGACAUCUCACCUCCUGACGCAACAUAGAAAAACCGACUUCUUUAAGUGAUUUAGUUC